rnacentral:rRNA from 1 species
UACAGAGGGUGCGAGCGUUAAUCGGAAUUACUGGGCGUAAAGCGCGCGUAGACGGUUUUGUAAGUCAGAUGUGAAAUCCCUGGGCUCAACCUGGGAACUGCAUUUGAAACUGCAUGGCUAGAGUAUGGAAGAGGGAAGUGGAAUUUCCGGUGUAGCGGUGAAAUGCGUAGAUAUCUGCAGGAACACCCGUGGCGAAAGCGGCGCGCUGGACCACUACUGACGCUGAGGAACGAAAGCUAGGGGAGCAAACAGG